rnacentral:tRNA from 1 species
GCUUGGCUGGCUCAGCCGGUAGAGCACGAGACUCUUGACCUCGGGGUGGUGAGUUUGAGCCCCAUGUUGCGUA